GAUGAACGCUGGCGGCGUGCCUAAUACAUGCAAGUCGAGCGAACAGACGAGGAGCUUGCUCCUCUGACGUUAGCGGCGGACGGGUGAGUAACACGUGGAUAACCUACCUAUAAGACUGGGAUAACUUCGGGAAACCGGAGCUAAUACCGGAUAAUAUAUUGAACCGCAUGGUUCAAUAGUGAAAGACGGUUUUGCUGUCACUUAUAGAUGGAUCCGCGCCGCAUUAGCUAGUUGGUAAGGUAACGGCUUACCAAGGCAACGAUGCGUAGCCGACCUGAGAGGGUGAUCGGCCACACUGGAACUGAGCACGGUCCAGACUCCUACGGGAGGCAGCAGUAGGGAAUCUUCCGCAAUGGGCGAAAGCCUGACGGAGCAACGCCGCGUGAGUGAUGAAGGUCUUCGGAUCGUAAAACUCUGUUAUUAGGGAAGAACAAAUGUGUAAGUAACUAUGCACGUCUUGACGGUACCUAAUCAGAAAGCCACGGCUAACUACGUG
rnacentral:rRNA from 1 species